AGUGAACGCUGGCGGCGUGCCUAACACAUGCAAGUCGAACGCGAAAGGGGGAGCAAUCCCCAAGUAGAGUGGCGAACGGGUGAGUAAUGUGUGGGUAAUUUGCCUUUCAGCGGGGGAUAACCCGGGGAAACCUGAGCUAAUACCCCAUAACAUGGCUUGAUCUUCGGAUCGAGUCAUCAAACGAUGGCCUCUGCUUGCAAGCUAUCGCUGGAAGAUGAGCCCCACAUCCUAUCACGCUUGUUGGUGGGGUAAUGGCCUACCAAGGCGACGACGGGUAGCCGGCCUGAGAGGGCGACCGGCCACACUGGGACUGAGACACGGCCCAGACUCCUACGGGAGGCAGCAGUGGGGAAUCUUGCGCAAUGGGCGAAAGCCUGACGCAGCGACGCCGCGUGA
rnacentral:rRNA from 1 species